GAAGCAUGUAAUGUACGUAAAUACAUUUCAUAUAUGGCUAGCCAGAGGUCCCAAAGCCAAGUUUGAUGUGUGUGGUAACAGCUGUGGUCGUAUGGUAAAAAUCAGGGGUUGGGUGCGAUCCUCCGAGUCAAGGAAGUAUGAAAGGCAGGAUACAUCCUGCCCUGAUGGUUGAAAUAGGUUGUGGUACACAGCAGCUUGCUCCUAUCUCAUCCCACCGAUGGUCCUGAUGUGACAGAAGUGGUUUCAGACAGCUUGAGUGUGUGUAUCUGCUUUCAGGAUGCUCCUCGACUCAUCCGUAAACAGGAGAAGUGACCGCAGAGCGAUGCUGAUACCUCUUUGCUCUGAGCAUCGCUGUCAUGGAGCAUUAGCUGAUUGCAUCAGGCGAAGGUAUGAGCAGAGAGCGUUUUCAGGGAGCUGAGACUGGGCUGGCUGUGGCUUUGCUCUCCAUGAGCGGUCUGGUUGUGUGUCCUGCUCACAGAUGGAGUAACUCUGUCUCCGUGCUGGGUGGGCUCCUAGGUAACCUCUCCCAGCAGUGAGCCUUAAUACCGCCUCACAUCCAUCCACUUGUUCAUGCCUCAUUUACCUCCGCCUGUGCUCGGUCCUGCAGAACAUCUACACUUUAACUUGAUAAGGCUGGCUUCAGCGGGAACUCCUAGGGCUGAUGAAAGGUUGUGGGCGCUGAAUGGGUUACGGUUGUUGUGAACCGCUUGUUCUUAUUGCCUGUAUGCAGCAUUAAAAAUCUUACAGAGCUCUGGAACAAGUCCUGAGCGGUGCCAACCGGUGUCCAUCACAGCUCGCUGUUUUGCUUGUUUACACGAGUCACUCUGAUAUUUUAAUAAAUACUUUGACAAAUUGAAGUAACAAACUCAGGCAUUUGAUUUGCUUUGCUGGUCUCUUCCCGCUUUCAGGAAUGAAAUAUCGCCAGCCGUGAUGCUGAAGAAAUGUAAUAUCAAAAUAAUAUUGAAUCUCUGCUUGCCAGCUCAACUUCCGACAGCUGCUGAAGAGGAUUAGAAUAUUAAGCAAAUGCAAAUGUUUCUCCAGAGCAAAUCACUACAUUGUGCCCGCCACCGCAAACAAUUGCCACUGGUGGUUCUUCCACACUCCUCUUGUAAAAAUUGUGGUUCCUUUUUUCGCUGGUAAACCCAAAGGUGCUGUGAGCUUUCAGGAAGGAGGGUAAGCAAAGUCUGAGUUGCCAGGUUUUCUCCCUUUUCUGUGAGCAAUGCAGUGAAAUCUCAAUUGUGAGUUGUUGUUUCUUUUUUUAUAGAAAAGAAAACAUAUAGACAACGUGGUGAGUUAUUUCCAAACAAGCACUAUUUAUUUCAGCAGCGGCUCCUCAAAGUAGAGCGUGCAGGGUAUAUUUAGAUGUGAAAGGAAAGACUGGGAGAAAAAGAUGUAUUCUGAGUGUUGUUGAGAGACAUUUUGAGAUCACCCGGGGACUGGCGGUUUCCUUAAAGGAAGCUGCCUUCGUUAGGAGUGGAUCAGAAGUGCUCUGAAAGCCUGAGGCGUUUGCAACCCCGCUGCAAUCCAGCUGUCCCCCAGGCCGGAGGGACAGCCUGGUGGUACACAUUCCUGCCUCGAAGCUGGGGGAAGGAAGGUACAUCACAGUCCUCGCCGAUGUGAAACCUGCUUCAGCUGCGCUGCUGAGUAACCUGUGCAGGUCAGCUUUAAAGACUGCAAGAGGUCCUAGUUUUUUGCUCAUUAGCGCGCUUUUGGCUGGUUCUGUAGUUUUUAAGGCCUUUGGUGCAGAGCUUGUGCUGUGCUUGACAGCAGGCUAGGCACUGCGCUCCCUGUAAUCCUUUCCAGUCCCGUUCAGUUGGGUCUGGAAAUUGAAAUCCUGCUGCUGGUUACUGCAGAAGUUCCUUCCCUGGCGGUAGCGGUGGUAGUUCCACUUCAGCCAUUCAGUUAACCACGUUGCCUAGUUUGAUGUCCUCAAGCAUUUGGCUUUUAAAAUCUCACCAGCUCCCUUAUUCCUGGCCUUUUGUGAUUCGUUUCCCGGCUUAUCUCCUGCAGACAGUGUGCAAAUAAGCAAGUGCUGCCCAGAAUAUUUGAUGGAAGCAAUGCGAGGAUGCUGGAGCACAGCACAGCCUCAACCAAAGGCAGCAGGAGGCAUUUUCUUUUCUUCCAAGGGGAACUGAGUGCUUUUGCAGUUUCAGCCCUUUCUUGACCACUGGUAAUGUUGCAAAGCUCCUCUCAGCUUGCCCCCUCCUUGCUCGGCAGACAAAUCUGCCAGGGAUAGCAUGCUUUAGCUGCUUUACCCUAGUUGUUUUGUUCCGUUUUGAGGGAUGUCAACCAGUGUUUCUAAUGUGUUGAAUGCUGAAUAGAGUUCCCCAGCUUUAGUGGCAGGAUCUGGAGUUCUUUGUGGAUUAUAUUUAGCGCUGAUGGAGCUUGCUUUGUCAGCUGCGUGCUGUUGCCUUGUAAAAACUGGCACCAUUCAAAUCUAAAUAAAUGCCGCUGAGAAAGAACCUUCCUUUUAUAACUAUUUUAACCUGUUUGACUUGGAAACGUCCUUUGAGCUGUGGCCAGAGAGCAAAUCAGUUGUCAGAAGUGCAGUCCCUCGUGUGAAGCACCUGUGCAUAAACAAACCUGUGCUCUGGGGCAUGAUGAGAAUUGUGCACAAAAAAUGAUUCUAACUUAGGUGAUGAAUUUUCCUAUGUCUUUGACUGCCAUCCCGUUCAUCUCUGUAGUCAGCAGAGGAGGGAGCGGCAUUAAACGUGGGGCACGUAAGGGAUCAGCGCAGACCGUUGGCCCCGUGCUAUGAGGGUGGCUGGAUGCACGUGCCUGGGCUGGAAGAAGGCCAGAAUGGCAGACGUGUUGCAAUGAGGGCAGCGCUGGGAUCUGUGAAGUGUUCUUCCAGUCUGAAAGCAAGCCCAGCAGCAGGAUGCUUUGCAUAUUUGGUUGCUCUGCUGGCUGAUACCAAACGUACCAUCAAAGUUCGCUCAUGUUUUUCACUGCUGUUGGCUGCUGUCUUCACCCUUACGGGACAUCUUGAGUUCUCAGUAAAAAAGCAAGCAGCCAUUUGGGCUGUAAAUUAUGCCUGUGUGGUUCUCCUGUCUUGUUUAUUUCAGGCCAUGUUGCAAACUUUGCAAAAAAAAAAAAAA